rnacentral:rRNA from 1 species
UUACAACUCCCAAACCCCUGUGAACAUACCAUAUUGUUGCCUCGGCGGUGCCUGUUUCGGCAGCCCGCCAGAGGACCCAAACCCUAGAUUACAUUGAAGCAUUUUCUGAGUCAAUGAUUAAAUCAAUCAAAACUUUCAACAACGGAUCUCUUGGUUCUGGCAUCGAUGAAGAACGCAGCGAAAUGCGAUAAGUAAUGUGAAUUGCAGAAUUCAGUGAAUCAUCGAAUCUUUGAACGCACAUUGCGCCCGCCAGUAUUCUGGCGGGCAUGCCUGUCCGAGCGUCAUUUCAACCCUCAAGCCCCCGGGCUUGGUGUUGGAGAUCGGCGAGCCCUCCGGGGCGCGCCGUCUCCCAAAUAUAGUGGCGGUCCCGCUGUAGCUUCCUCUGCGUAGUAGCACACCUCGCACUGGGAAACAGCGUGGCCACGCCGUAAAACCCCCCACUUCUGAAAGGUUGACCUCGGAUCAGGUAGGAAUACCCGCUGAACU